UACGUAGGGGGCGAGCGUUGUCCGGAUUUAUUGGGCGUAAAGAGCGUGUAGGCGGUUCGGUAAGUCUGUCGUGAAAUCCUGGGGCUCAACCCCGGGAGGCGGGCGGAUACUGUCGGGCUAGAGUCCGGAAGAGGCAAGUGGAAUUCCUGGUGUAGCGGUGAAAUGCGCAGAUAUCAGGAGGAACACCGAUGGCGAAGGCAGCUUGCUGGGACGGUACUGACGCUGAGACGCGAAAGCGUGGGGAGCAAACAGG
rnacentral:rRNA from 1 species